CUAGGUGAUCUCCAGAGGUUCCCUUCCGACCCCUGCCAUUCUGUGAUUCUGUGAAGCAAAUGUGCAUCAAAAUACAGGACACCUUGUCACAGUGGUGUUUGUGAUCUUGCUCUUCCCACCUUGUGUUGCAGCAGCAAGAGGGUAUUUGCUCAAGGGACGCCGUCUCCUGGUGAAUGUUGUGCCUUAACAUGACUCAGGGCAGUGCUGGUGCUUGAGCAAAGGAGCCCAGCUGGGACUGACACCUCUGAAGGGUUCGGGACCCCCUCCAGCAGAGCUGGGAUCAGCCCAAAGCCCCUGGCUCCUCUCCCAGAGGAGACUGCACGCCUGGAAGAAGAGCUAGAAGAAAGGGGAGCCAUAUUCCUACCCCAAGAGUAGGGAAGGUCAUCGAGGACACACCUGAAGAGAGAGAAGUCUAAGCAGGGUGGGCACACAAGAUGUUUACGUUGCAUUGUCCUACUACAGGAAUUGUCAUUCAUCCAGGAAAUAAAAUGGCCCCAAUGACUUGAGUGUCACAUAAAAAAAGGACGGUGAAUCAGAGCACUGCUAGAUGUGGCUGCAGGCAUCCAAGGCGGUCUAUGUGCAUUGAUUGCCUCAACACCUACCAGCAAGAUUGCUGAGCUUGAGAGCCAAGUUUCCUCGCUACACAACAUGAAGAAGAAUAAAAAGUUCCUGGACGAUAUUUUUAGAGACGUGACCGUGCCGAGCAAAGGAGGGUCUGAACAGUACAGUGCAGAAAAGAGGUAGAGAUGAAAGAUGAGUUACUGUGACUAGGACAUAAAAAGGCAGGCAGCCAUCCAGAGGGGAUUGCGAAUGUUGGAGUACCAGAGUUUGUCCCUGGAUGCGUGGGGCGAAGCAAACAAACCUUGUCAAACAUGCCCCAGCUAUGAUCAGGAAGGAAAUGUGACUGAGCCGAGCACUACAGUGCGUAAGGGUUGGGAAGACGGCGCGUUUAUGGGUACAUCAUGCAGCAGCCAGGUUGGACCCUCUCUCGCUUUCAGUUUUCCUUUGGCAUCCAAGCGAGAUGCCAAUGACACGUGGCACUGGUGUGUGUCUCUCCCGCAGACCAGCAGAGCCAAGAGUGCCGAAGAAGUCUGACUUACUCCUCCCUCCAGCUGCGUCUUCCGCAUGGACACCGCACCUCUAGUACAGAAAAAUCAGGGAACUCGGUAACCCUGAGAUGUGUAUCCCUCACCAAACUUCUGAGAAUGCUUAGGCCCUUGGACACCAGUGAUGUGACAGGUUAGAAAGUGGGAUGAAAGGCUUUCUAACAGCACUGGCUCUUGCUGACUUAAACAAGACCAACGUCCUGACUGCCAGGACAUGAAGUUUUACUCCAGUCUCCAGGAUUUGAGAACCUGAAGUUGUUGCUUUCUCUUUGUCUAGUGUGCUGCAUGCGGAUCACUGAGACUCUGGUAAGAAUUCCCCACGGGGUCUUUGAGAACACAUUCUGGUCCUUCCUUUCAUCUCGGGUUUCAGCUCAUCAGGUUUGGGAAAUCUGUAUGGGAAAAAAAAAUAAAAAAAAAAAUAUCUUUUUUUCCCCAGAGCGAAAGGGCAAACACUGAGUGUGUCAUCUUCAGAGCUGGACGGCAAUGGAAUAGAAAUCCAUCACAAACCAGUAGUCCCUUGAGCGGUGAGAUCUGAUGGGCCUUGGGUGAUCUCUUGUGUGGAUUCUCCUAAGUGUACAUAGCUGGAAGCUCCAACUGCAGCUUUUCCCGGGCAGACAGAAUAUUCAGUUACCACUCUGUUUAAACAUAAUGUGUGUUGCUCAAAAUCUGGCACUAUUAUUGUAAAGUAAAAAAAAAAAAAAACCAAAACAAAACUAGUGGGAUCCUUGUCCUGGAACUGCAUCCUCAUGCUUAUGCACAGCACGCACGCUUCGCCUCCAGCGCCUGAGUGGUCCUGCUGAGACUGGAGGAACGCGUAGGGAAUGUAGGCUUGCCGUGAGAUCCUGUCUCCAUUACAUCUUUUGGAGUUUUGCCAUGGAAAGGAAGGCAUUUUACCCUUCGUUUGUAAGUAAUUAAGAUGAUAGUGGAGUUUUGGAGUUUUCCAACUUUGCGAAAACAAACUAAUAGCAACGAUCCACUUCAAUAAUUCGGAUAUUAAUUGACACAAG